rnacentral:rRNA from 1 species
AAAUUGAAGAGUUUGAUCAUGGCUCAGAUUGAACGCUGGCGGCAGGCCUAACACAUGCAAGUCGAACGGUAGCACAGAGAGCUUGCUCUCGGGUGACGAGUGGCGGACGGGUGAGUAAUGUCUGGGAAACUGCCUGAUGGAGGGGGAUAACUACUGGAAACGGUGGCUAAUACCGCAUAACGUCGCAAGACCAAAGAGGGGGACCUUCGGGCCUCUUGCCAUCAGAUGUGCCCAGAUGGGAUUAGCUUGUUGGUGAGG